rnacentral:pre_miRNA from 1 species
CAACUACUCCCUCUGUCCCAAAUUUCUUGUCUUAGAUUUGUCUAGAUACGGAUGUAUCUAAUACUAAAAUGUGACUUGAUACAUCCGUAUCUGGACAAAUCUAAGACAAGAAUUUUGGGAUGGAGGGAGUAUUUU